AUACGGAGGAUGCGAGCGUUAUCCGGAUUUAUUGGGUUUAAAGGGAGCGUAGGCGGGAGCUUAAGUCAGCGGUUAAAUGGUGCGGCUCAACCGUGCCCUGCCGUUGAAACUGGGUUUCUUGAGAGUGCAAGAGGCGGAUGGAAUUCAUGGUGUAGCGGUGAAAUGCUUAGAUAUCAUGAAGAACUCCGAUUGCGAAGGCAGUCCGCUGGGGCACGUCUGACGCUGAUGCUCGAAGGUGCGGGAAUCAAACAGGAUUAGAUACCCUGGUAGUCCGCACGGUAAACGAUGAUUACCCGCUGUCGGCGGCAGACAGUCGGCGGCCAAGCGAAAGCGAUAAGCAAUCCACCUGGGGAGUACGCCGGCAACGGUGAAACUCAAAGGAAUUGACGGGG
rnacentral:rRNA from 1 species